rnacentral:lncRNA from 11 species
AAGAAAACAUUCAUGCACUCCAGAAUACAGAAAACGAUGAAGCUGAUAUCUAAUAAAUUACUAUUCCCUGUUUAUCUUCUUCUGUCAGCAGUGGUGCCUAUUUUCCAGUCGGCCCAGCUGUACAGAGAAUUCUGGGAACUGUAGUGAAAAAGGCAGCUUUUUUCUCUGUAGUCCCUUUAAUUUCCACUGCUUUGAGCAGUCAUAGAGCCUUUAAUUUUCUGAGAGAGAGAAACCAAUUAUAUUGUAAGAAUAUCAUGCAAAGCAAGAAACCUUACAUACAUCUGCAGUGUCACGGUCAAAUUUCUGGAGCAUGAAAAAUCUCCCUAAUUUAUAGAUUUUCUGUAAGCAUUUCCUUGGAGCCUCAGCUCAUACCAAGUCGAAAUGUGCAUGAUUGUAACCCUUCCUCGACAAUAUGAAAAAGAACAGCUUGGGAAAGUUAUCACCCAUGCUGGCUGAGGAAUCUGCCUGGACAUGUCAUCUAAAAAAUCCCUUCCAGCACAGGAUCGAAGGUUACAUAAAGUAUACAGCUGGAUCUUAUGAUGAUUUUAGAGGAUGAUGACAAACAAGGUCUCCUUCUCAGCUUCGCCAUGUUUAGAAAAUUCCCUGCAGGCAACAGAACUCAGUCUGAUCACAAAGCAUAGUAUUCAUGGAACAGUAGUGAGAGGCAGCAGCCCUGACUCACUCCCAUUCCCCCAAGGCUGUGUAAGCGAAAGUGUGAAAAUUGCUUCCAAUACUCUUAGAAGAAAAGUAGCUUGAAAAAUAGUCCUCCAUAUGGUCAGCCAUAUGGAGGCAGCAUCAGGAAGAAAUUGAAUAAAUCAAAUAUGGCAAAGUUUAUCCUUAUACACUCCAUUACUGUAUCUGGCACUACUGUGACACAAUCACACUAAACAUGGCUUUUACAAGUAACAUUAUAGGUAUAUUUUGAAAAUUAUAAACUGAAUUUAAAGCACUUUAAAUGUAUUUGAUGUAGCAUAAAAUGUAAGCAUCACAUAUGUUUCUUUACAGAGGGGGUAAAAUGAGAGUAUUGUACUCCCCAGAUAAUAAUUCUGCCCUCCAAAAUAAAGUUUUACAUAAGUUUCCAAGU